CCGAUCUUCUUGCGGACGGCGGAUUGGGUCGGGGCACGACGGCACCGUGACGUAUUUCCCUCUUCGGCGUCGACGGUUGGGCGAGCGGCGGCGCCCUUUAACAGGUCUUCGUCGGGUCCUUCGCCGGCGACGAGCAUCCACCAGAUUUUAGGCUUGCUAAUCACCAUGGCUCAUCAAAAGCGUGAAGGCAGCUCCACCGAUGAUGAUUGUGCAUCCAAGCGCCUGAAAGGCUCAGACACUGCUUCUGAAACGGGUUGCAAUGUAGAGGCUAGUGUUUCACAAGAAAUAGAUGCUGAAGCGACGAGAACCUGCCAAAGGGAAAGUGAGGCGCCAUCGAACAAAUGCGUUUCGGAUGGGAAGUCCGCUGUGGACUCUAAUGUUUCAGGCGAGCAAAAGAUGGUACUGACUGCUGUCGAGGCGGAUGCUGCGGAAGACAAGGGUUGCAGGCACACUAUGGAGGACGCCUGGGUGGUGCUCCCAAAUGCUGGUGCGGAAUAUCCAGGAAGUUUGAGGUGCGCGCAUUUUGCAAUUUUUGAUGGGCAUGGUGGUCGAUUGGCGGCAGAUUAUGCACAGAAGCACUUGCAUCAGAAUGUCAUCGCUGCUGGAUUACCACGUGAGUUGAUGGAUGUUAAAGCUGCAAAGAAGGCCAUAAUUGAAGGUUUCCGCCGAACUGAUGAAUCUUUACUGCAAGAAAGUACUAAACGAAAUUGGCAAGAUGGUGCGACAGCUGUAUGUGUUUGGAUCUUGGGACAGAUGGUUGUAGUUGCUAAUGCUGGAGAUGCUAAAGCGGUAUUGGCUCGUUCUAUUUCAACUGAUGGUGAAGGUGUCGUUGAUGAGACUAAAAGCCAGCUAAAGGCUAUUGUUUUGACAAGAGAACAUAAGGCCAUCUUUCCGCAGGAGCGCUCCCGAAUCCAGAAGGCUGGAGGUUCUGUUGGUUCUAAUGGAAGAUUACAAGGUCGUAUUGAAGUAUCAAGAGCUUUUGGUGAUCGCCAGUUUAAGAAGGUUGGAUUGAUUUCAACCCCAGACGUCCACUCUUUUGAACUUACCAAGAAAGAUCAUUUCAUCAUUCUAGGGUGUGAUGGCUUAUGGGGAGUAUUUGGACCAAGUGAUGCUGUUGAAUUUGUUCAGAAUCAGUUGAAGGUUCUUUCUAUUUCAGUAUCAGCGAAUCCAAAAUCCAGAUUUAGUCGUUUCAUUUCUCCAGUAUUUACCAGUUAGUAGGAAAACCAGAGAAUAUAAUCAGAAAGACACUGGUAGUAGAUCACUUGAUGAUUUGAUGUUUACCCAGUCUACGUAGCCUGUGUACAUGCUGGAGACCUCUUCAGCCUCACUUGCAGUACGCCGCCUCGUGAAGGAGGCUGUUCGUGAGAGGCGAUGCAAGGAUAACUGCACUGCUGUUUUAAUCGUCUUCAAGCACUAGAGACCUUCUGUAGACUGUGAAAGAAUUAGCUGACAACGAACAAUGUUUGAACUGAAGAUAGUUGAACAUGGAACUCUUGUUUUGUUUGUUUCUCUUUUUUUUUUGAAACUUUUGUUUUGUUUGUUUCUAUGUGGCCUAUUAACAAACUAUCCAUAUUCAUUUGAAAUUGGAAAUCAGACUUUGCAAUUUGGAGGGGUUGGCAGAA